GGUUUGGCUGUUCGCCAAUUAAAGCGGUACGUGAGCUGGGUUUAGAACGUCGUGAGACAGUUUGGUCCCUAUCUGCCGUGGGUGUAGGAAAUUUGAGAGGAGCUGUCCCUAGUACGAGAGGACCGGGAUGGACAUACCUCUGGUGGAGCUGUUGUCGCGCCAGCGGCAUUGCAGCGUAGCUAAGUAUGGACGGGAUAACCGCUGAAAGCAUCUAAGCGGGAAGCCUCCCUCGAAACUAGAUUUCCCUUGAGAACCGUGGAAGACCACCACGUUGAUAGGCCGGGUGUGGAAGCGCAGCAAUGCGUGUAGCUUACCGGUACUAAUUGUUCGAUCGACUUGAUCGUUCUCAUUU
rnacentral:rRNA from 2 species